GACGAACGCUGGCGGCGUGCUUAACACAUGCAAGUCGAACGGAAAGGCCCUGCUUUUGUGGGGUGCUCGAGUGGCGAACGGGUGAGUAACACGUGAGUAACCUGCCCUUGACUUUGGGAUAACUUCAGGAAACUGGGGCUAAUACCGGAUAGGAGCUCCUGCUGCAUGGUGGGGGUUGGAAAGUUUCGGCGGUUGGGGAUGGACUCGCGGCUUAUCAGCUUGUUGGUGGGGUAGUGGCUUACCAAGGCUUUGACGGGUAGCCGGCCUGAGAGGGUGACCGGCCACAUGGGGCCUGGGAACCGGCCCACGCCCCACCGGGGGGGAGGGGGGGGGAAAUUUGAAAAAGGGGCGGAAGCAGGAUGCACCAACGCCGGGGGCGGGAAGGGGGCCUUUGGUUGGUAAACCGUUUUCGCCUGUAACGAAGGGUCAGGGGGGGUAAUGGGAAAAGAAGCACCGGCUAACUCGGU
rnacentral:rRNA from 1 species